rnacentral:rRNA from 1 species
CAGCAGCCGCGGGAAUACGAAGGGUGCAAGCGUUACUCGGAAUUACUGGGCGUAAAGCGCACGCAGGCGGUCUGUCAAGUCAGAUGUGAAAUCCCCGGGCUUAACCUGGGAACUGCAUUUGAAACUGGCAGGCUAGAGUCUUGUAGAGGGGGGUAGGAUUCCAGGUGUAGCGGUGAAAUGCGUAGAGAUCUGGAGGAAUACCGGUGGCGAAGGCGGCCCCCUGGACAAAGACUGACGCUCAGGUGCGAAAGCGUGGGGAGCAAACAGGAUUAGAUACCCGUGUAGUCCCUGUCUCUUAUAA